rnacentral:lncRNA from 1 species
GAAUCCCAAGGUGUCAAAUCAGUAGGGAAGGGAGAGAGAGACUAGACAAGUUGAGGGGUUUAAUUCAAACUGAAAAUCCUCUAGCCAUGCCAAAGAUGUGUGAUUAUCAAAGAAACAUACCAUUUACAUUGUAAAAUCAGGACUAAAGCUCUGUCUUGCAGGAAACAUUUUCUCCUCAGAACAUAAAAAUGUGAUGUAAAUCCUGAAGCGAGUUUUGGUUGUUUUAUUUUGUUUUGUUUUGUGACUGCAUCUUGCUUUGUAACCCAACCUGGAAUGCUUAGCAAUCCUCCUGCAGCAGACUCCUCCUCAAGGUUUGAACUGCCACUUAGAACAAAUUCUUUUUGAAAAGGAAUAUUACUUUUACCUUACCAUCGCUGUCUUAUGGCAUGAUUAUUUUACCCUUGGAGAUGUGCUGAGAUGAUUGAAUGCUAAUUUGCAUUUUGAUUCAGGGUUAAGCUGGAAUUGUUUGUUCUUAGUGACUGUCUUUGGAAUGAAAAUAGGCUCAGUGGAUCUCAUCCCAAGCCUUAUUUUGCAUUUAUCCCCAGUUGCCAAUUAGUUUUGGUUUUCCAGCCUGGUAGACUUAAGCAAGGACAAUUGUUGGACAAAUUGCAAGGAGUAAAAAAGAUGGAAAAGAGAGGGCCUGCAUUGGGGAAAUAGAUCAGGAAGUUCACUUAGGUCUCCAUACUCUGAACACCUUACCAACGGCUCCUUAUGGAAUCAGUGACUCCAGAAGACAGAACUAGACUGGGAUAACUAAAGUCAACUCCUCUCUCCUUGGCUAGAGGAAGAAGAGCCAUCUGAACAUCAGGCCAUCAGAUGACAGCCAAAUGAGGAUGCCACCACUGAAAGAAGGGACGCUGGGUUUGAAGUCCGAAAGCACAUUGAAAAUGAGGAAUGAUAACCACAAGUCAUUUUUCGAGGUUCAGGUAAAAAUAGUUUACUAAACUACUAAAAGAGGUAGUGGGAGGAGAAGAAAAACAGAAAAAGGAAAAUAAAGUAGGGAAAUACUAAACCUAGUGGUCUGCU